AGCGAACGCUGGCGGUAGGCCUAACACAUGCAAGUCGAACGGCAGCACAGUAAGAGCUUGCUCUUACGGGUGGCGAGUGGCGGACGGGUGAGGAAUACAUCGGAAUCUACUUUUUCGUGGGGGAUAACGUAGGGAAACUUACGCUAAUACCGCAUACGACCCACGGGUGAACGCAGGGGAUCUUCGGACCUUGCGCGAUUGAAUGAGCCGAUGUCGGAUUAGCUAGUUGGCGGGUUAAAGGCCCACCAAGGCGACGAUCCGUAGCUGGUCUGAGAGGAUGAUCAGCCACACUGGAACUGAGACACGGUCCAGACUCCUACGGGAGGCAGCAGUGGGGAAUAUUAGACAAUGGGCGCGAGCCUGAUCCAGCCAUACCGCGUGGGUGAAGAAGGCCUUCGGGUUGUAAAGCCCUUUUGUUGGGAAAGAAAAGCAGCAGGUUAAUACCACGCUGUUCUGACGGUACCCAAAGAAUAAGCACCGGCUAACUUCGUG
rnacentral:rRNA from 1 species